GAUGAAGAACGCAGCGAAAUGCGAUAAGUAAUGUGAAUUGCAGAAUUCAGUGAAUCAUCGAAUCUUUGAACGCACAUUGCGCCCCCUGGCAUUCCGGGGGGCAUGCCUGUCCGAGCGUCAUUACAACCCUCAAGCUCAGCUUGGUGUUGGGCCCCGCCGCCCCGGCGGGCCCUAAAGUCAGUGGCGGUGCCGUCCGACUCCGAGCGUAGUAAUUCUUCUCGCUCUGGAGGUCCGGUCGCGUGCUCGCCAGCAACCCCCAAUUUUUUUCAGGUUGACCUCGGAUCAGGUAGGGAUACCCGCUGAACUUAAGCAUAUCAAUAAGCGGAGGA
rnacentral:misc_RNA from 1 species